rnacentral:rRNA from 1 species
CCUACGGGUGGCAGCAGUGAGGAAUAUUGGUCAAUGGCCGGAAGGCUGACCCAGCCAAGCCGCGUGAAGGACGAAGGUGCCAAGCAUUGUAAACUUCUUUUGUCAAGGGACAAAAUCAGGCUCGAGAGCCUGACCGAGGGUACUUGAAGAAAAAGCAUCGGCUAACUCCGUGCCAGCAGCCGCGGUAAGACGGAGGAUGCGAGCGUUAUCCGGAUUGAUUGGUUUAAAGGGGGGCGUAGGCGGGCGGUUAAGUCAGCGGUAAAACGCCGGGGCUAACCCCCGGCGAGCCGUUGAAACUGGCUGUCUUGAGAUGUCGAGAGGUAUGCGGAAUGCGCAGUGUAGCGGUGAAAUGCUUAGAUAUUGCGAAGAACUCCGAUUGCGAAGGCAGCAUACCGGCGGCGAUCUGACGCUGAGGCACGAAAGCGUGGGUAUCGAACAGGAUUAGAUACCCGAGUAGUC